CUUAUCCUUUCGGCUAACAAUUAAACUUCCCUCUUCUUGUAUCCUAGAUCUCUCUCUCUCUCUUCUUAUCCUUGCGACCUUGCCUACUCCAAUGAGAGUUACCGGACGGGAUGUUCCUCUCCGGGAAGUCUGCGUUAUCUGUAGCAGCGCUCCGACAUCAUUUUCAGAUAUGUGGCAGGGCUCUCUCUAUUAGAGUUGGAUCUCGAGAUACUUCAUAUUGUGUUCAGAUCUAUGGGUUUGUGAUUAUACAGUUUCUAUGCCGUCGAAACCCAUCCCAUCUUGAGCUAUUCCCGAUUGAGCAGUCCGGUGCUUUCUCCAACUCUCUCCUACUCUUUUAGACGAAGCAAAAGAAGGAGCCUUUCACCGCUAAAAUUCCAAAGAAGCCCAAGAAGAAGGUAGAGAGGAACUGGAAUUAAAUAUCAAGGAUGAAUCUGAUGAGUUCAGAUUACCAACUGACCAGGAACUUGAACAAGAGGCGCAUCAACCUCCUGAUCUUUCACACCUUCAGGGGAGGUUAAAAGAGAGUAAGUUGUACCUCCACUAGUUUAUGUAUUAUAUGUUUGGGUUCAUAUUAUGGCUACAAUGACUUUUUGAUUGGAGCUUUAGUAGAGGUGACUGAUUGAUUCUUUAAUGUUGUGAUGGAGCUGUUGGAAAAACUUGCAUGCUGAUCUCUUAUACCAACAUUACCUUCCCCACUGUAAGAAGCAUGGUGUUAAUUUCAUCAUGAUUCAUAUAUAACUAAUCAGUCAAGUUUGUUUCAUUGAUUUAGGACAUAUUUUUUAAUUGCUAAUGUGGUGGUGGAUGGAAGCACAGUUAUCCUUUGGAUUAUGGGACACUGCAGGUAAGUAAUUGCUCUAUGUGGGUGCUUGGUUUCUACUAGUCUGCUAUUUUACCAUGGUGAAGAUUAUCAAGGCUGGUCUUAUAAGCGCUUAUAUCAUAAAAACACUCUACUUUGGAAGGCAUUCUACAGAUCGUGAAGUUGCUCUCAUGAUGCUUAUGGCUUAUUUGUCAUACAUGUUGGCUGAGGUACCCUAAAACAGAAUAUGGAUAACUACAACUACUUGGACCUUAAUUAUGAAGGUUUUAAGUGAAUGCAGAAGAUUAUUACAAAGGAACUGAUAAUGUUUUAGAUUUUAGCAUGGUGAUGAUAUGUUGGUUUAGUUACGUUGUUUUUGUACAAUACUCAAUUGUUGUUGGCAUAUAAAUGUAUAAUUUACAUUUUCUAAUGUGAUACUUGCAGUUUGUUAUCUCUCUUUUUAUCUCAAUAAAUUGUAUAGAUUUAUUUCAA